rnacentral:tRNA from 1 species
GGGAAUGUAGCUCACUUGAUAGAGUGCUCGUCUAGCAUAAGAGAAGCCCUGGGUUUGAUUCCCAGCAUUGGCU